GGAGCUGGUGUUUCUUCCCAGAAGAAAGUGUAGAGAGCCCUCUACCGAGAAUAAAUUUUUUGUAUGGAAUUAUGUCUGAAACUAUAUCGGGUGUAUCCUAGUGGUUGGUUGAGCUGUAAUGGCUCAUAUUUUGUCAGGUCUAUGUACCUUCGUUAAACUUUAAAUCAAUAUCUAUUUCAUUUUCGCAUUGUGCUUGUGCACGACUCUAAUUGACUGCAAAAAAUUACUCUGCUUCGUUCACUGGCUGUUUAGUUGUUGACCUAGUAUGUCCUGGGUGAGAAUGGUUCUUGAGGAACCUGAUGGUGCUUGCCAAUUUCAGAAAUAGACAGUCGUUGCGUGCAGGAUGCCCAGGCCUUACGGGUGACAAGUAGAUGUAUGGUUUCGUUUGCCUUACACUAUCUCGUGAACAUGCCAAAGGAUAUAAAAAAUCAUCUGUUGUUAGUCCAUACAAGAUUCAUAAUGAUUAUAGCUAUAGUUUGAAUAUGAAUCUUUUGAGUAACUUCACCUGAAAUAAUUUGAGUAUGAAUCUUUUGCGACAAAGUAUGGCAUGAACUAUGGAUGUACCGAAUUUUAAAUUUCUUAGUAUAACUUUGGUUUUAGUUUUCAUAUUUAUGCUAUGUCAGUCAUUCCAUCGAGAAAGAGUGCCGGAGUACCAUUUUACUAGAUAGAAGAUGAUGCAUAAUAUAUUGAAGGUAUGAUUGUUCCAGAUGCUACGCCCUCUGGGCACCCAUAGGGUGGGGGGAAAUCGAUGCUUCAAACUGGAGAUAAAGGUUUUGCCACUGCAGCCUUUGAUGCUUGGUAAACAAUUUAUAGCACUGACCCUCAACAACAGACCCAAUGAUCAAUUCAUUUCUUUUUGUUUAUGUACCUUAUGGGAUCCACAACCAAUGCUUUGCAAAAGAUGAAACUGAGCAUCAUUUUUUACAAGACAUUCCAAGCAUUGCUUUUUACGCAUCACACUGCUAAUGCUCUAAAUUCAGUGUUGUUCAACGCCGACUCAUCUAUUCCUUACAGCAGGAAAGGCAAAAUCCAAUAAGCAACUUGAGCAAUGUACUUCUGUAGCUUUUGUACAAAUCAAAGAUCAAAUAUAUGCUACUUAAUAUUCCUUCCGUUUUAAGUUGUAGAUCGUUUUAAUUUUUUUAGGUUCGUAAAUAUUUAUAUGCACUAAAAAAAGCUAAAUCUGAGCCGAGCCUGUUUUCUUAGAAGAACUAAAACGAGGAUGUUGCUCGUGGGCGAACAUGAAAUGUGCACGUGCAACUCAGCCAACAGCUGUGUGCUAUGGGCCUAUGAGCGGGAGAGUACUUUGGGCCUCUAUCCGAUAUGGGGGCCUUUUGAUCGCGUGUUCAAUUUUACGUCGGCCCUGCUCCGGUGCUCCCGAACGCUCGCUGCCUCGCUCUUCCUCUCCCUCCGCCGCCGCCACCACCGCCACCGCUGCCGCCAUUGUCGCGGGGACAGACCCUGAUGUCUCGCUAGAAGCAGCAACCGCAGGGAGGAAGAAGCCGCGAACCCCGAUGCCUCUGCGCGGUCUCCGGCGUCUGCGCCGGUGCUGCGAUGCCGGGAGGUCCCUGCUACCGCUCCCCCUCCGCAGAUCUUCGUCAUCAUCGUCCUCCACACGCCCGAGCCAGGAUUCCAGUGGCACCGCACUCACGGCGGAGGAAGAGGCGGCGGCCGAGCGGAUCAAGAGCUCGCUCUUCAAGGUGCGCAAGGGGAGCGUCGAGGACCUUGUCCGGUCCCUCGGGGCGGAGUGUUCUGAGAUCCGGCUCACGACCGGCGUCGCGGACAGCCUGCUGCGCAGGUUCGGGGACGACUGGAAGUCCGCGCUGGGUUUCUUCCAGUGGGCGCAGUCGCGGGGCGACGGCUACGCGCACACGCCGUACGCCUGCAGCCGGAUGGUCGACCUGCUCGGGAAAAUGAGGCAGAUCGACCGGAUGUGGGAUCUGCUGUCUGAAAUGCAUUGCAGGGGGCUGGUCACGGUGGACAUUGUCUCCAAGAGCAUCAGGAGGCUUGCCGCUGCGAGGAGGUGGAAGGAUGCCAUUGUGUUGUUUGAUCAGUUGGAGGACAUGGGGCUGGAGAGGAACACGGAGACGAUGAAUGUGCUGCUCGACGCUCUCUGCAAGGAGAAGAAAAUCGAAUUGGCGCGUGAGGUCUUUGUGGUGCUCAGCCCGCACAUCACACCAGAUGCAUACACUUUCAACAUCUUUGUCCAUGGGUGGUGCAGUAUGCGCAGGAUUGAUGAGGCAAUGUGGACGAUUGAGGAGAUGAAAAACAAGGGGUUCCCUCCUACGGUCAUCACGUAUACUGCUGUUAUUGAGGCUUACUGUAAGCAGCGCAAGUUCAGGAGGGUCUAUGAACUCCUUGAUUCGAUGGGUUCUCAGGGCUGCCAUCCCAAUGUGAUCACUUACACCAUGAUCAUGACCUCCUUGGCGAAAUGUGAAAGAUUUGAAGAAGCUUUGAGUGUGUCCGAUAGAAUGAGAUCCUCAGGUUGUGAGCCUGAUACCCUGUUCUACAACUCUCUGAUCAACAUUCUUGGUAAAGCGGGUCAUUUGUUCGAAGCUUCCCAAGUGUUUCGUGUGGAGAUGCCAAGAAAUGGUGUGCCCCGUAACCUGGCCACGUAUAACACCAUGAUAUCAAUUCUGUGCCAGUAUGGGCGAGAUGAUGAUGCUCUUGCUUUGUUGAAAGAAAUGGAGGCACAAUCUUGCAAGCCUGAUCUUCAGACAUAUCAACCGCUUCUUAGGCUAUUUUUGAGUAGAAGAGGGCAUGGUGAUGCUGUUGACCACCUAUUGAGUGAGCUUGUGAAUAAGAGUGGUCUAGGUUUAGAUCUUGAUACAUACACCCUUCUGAUCCAUGGUCUUUGUAGGGUCGGUGAAACUGACUGGGCUUAUCGACUGUAUGAUCAGAUGGUAGGUAGUGAAAUCGUACCUAGGCGUAAAACAUGUGAAUUGCUUUUGAGUGAAACACAAAGACAAAACAUGGAGGCGUAUGUGGAAAGAAUCAGGAAUGAUACAAUUUCCUUUGGUCUUUGUCCAUAACUUUGAGAGAAUUACCCUCUUCUAUGUGAUUGAUUUGUUAAUUGCUAGUGACCAGUUAAUACUACUGAACAAUCUGUAACUUAGCAUAGACUAGAAGUCAGGAAGCAUCUUCAGACAACAGAAGAUUGCCCAUCGUCUACUGUUUUACUGCAAGAAUAAGUUGCAAGAUUAUCUUAUACUUUUAUCAGCAUAUUAUAGCAAGAUUGAAAUCAUCAUUUGACUUCAGAAUUUCAGUUGAUAAUCCUUGUACAAAGACAUGGUGCACAUGCUAUGCUAUUACAAUUGGCAUUGGCUUUUUAAUGGAUAGUAGUGAGCUGGAUUUAAUUGUGACACCUAGUUGUAUUGUGUCGUCAUAUUAUGUAAUAUGAUAUUAAUGUUGUACAUACCUGUAUAUCAUGUCAAACUGUGCAGGCACAAAAAUAUUUUCUGCAUUGUACAUGUUGAUUCACUUCUUGUGUAUUCGAGAAAACAAUAUGCUUGCUGUUUAAAUUGGAGAAUUCAUAAGUCUGGUUCAAAUAGAAGCCUACUGAACCCAGCAGCCCGGUUACAAACGUACUGCAACUUCUUCAUAUACUGCUGUGGAGAGCAAUCUUUUUCAGAUUGCUGAUCUGUUUGUUUCUGUUGCGUUGUGCGUGCUGUUGGCUGUAACCAUGCAGCAGUGAGAGAAGCUCCGCCGCAUCUUGCUCCCUUAAGAGCACUGGUCUCUGUUUGGUAAGCUGGGCUUCAAGAUCAAAAGAUUGCGGUGCAAUGGCCACUUUCUUUUAGAGAGGAGUGGAAUGCCAGCUUGCAAAGCUGUCUGCCCGACGCAAAAUGGCAGUUCAGGCAUCUGAUGGCUAUAUCUGCUGGUUUCUUUAAUGUGGAUCGGUCGAUCCAAGCGUAUGAAGCCUUCAUCUGCACUGCAGAGCCUUCCAGACAGGCAGUAUUGAACAGAAAGUAACGAGGACCUCCCUGGAUCUAGUGAUUUCCUCCGUUCAGCGAUAUGGUGGAAGAGUUCCAGGCGGGGCCAGUCGUCAGUCGCCACUCCAUCCUCCAAACAGGCUACUGUGUGUAUGUGGCCAUGUUCCAGCCGGUGCACGCAUUGACGGGUGUCGUUAUCGCUAAUUGCUGCGAGGAAGCCCCGUUCCGGGUUCAUCUUUAUCCAUGGCGCCUCAAUAAUAAUGCGACGACGGGUCGAUUCGAUUCGCAUGUGGGCCGGCGGCCUACGCCCACGGCGGCGACGCGAUCGGAGCCGGACGGCGCGGGGGGCCGGGCCUCACGUGGUGGUGGCGGCGAUCGCGACCGCGACCGCGUGGGGACGAACGGCCGGACCGGUUGGUGAGGGUGAGAACGUGAGGAGAUGGGCUACCUUUUUGGCAAAGCAACGUGCCGAGGCCGGGCCGUGGGAGCUGCGGGGGGGGGGGGGGGGGGGGGGGGGGGGGGGGGGGGGGGGGGCACGAGGGCACCACCCACCACACCCUGCCGCCGUGCGCCCGUGCCCGACGCCGAACGCGAUCGGGAGGGAAGGGGCACGCGCUGCCUGCCUGUCCGCCGGGCCGUGGGGGAGAGAUCAACGGGGGCCGCGUCGCCUCUCCUGUUGCAGCGGGUGCCUUUCGGUGGUUCGCGGCAGGAACACGUGGCCGUGGCCCGCGCCGAUCCGCAUCGGCAUCGGCCAGCUAGCUGACUCCGAGACGCGAUCCGGCCGGGCCAACCGGCCAGGGGAAAGCUGCUUCGAGGGAGCCACAGCUCUCUGACACCGUGAUGCUUCUUCCCUUUCAGUUCUUCUUGGAGGAGCAUUAUUCAGACGGAGCAAAGGCGCCCCCUGUCCACUUCGCAGCUCCCAAGCUAACCCAAACAACCAAUUCCAUCCACACCGCGUCGCGUUACACCGGCAUGUGAGAGUGUACUGGAAAUCAUUGCCGGAUCAUGCCGUCCCGUCGUAAAAAUCCAGUCCUAAAGGACGCACCACACCAUAUCUCCCUGCCACGUACGUACGUACGCGCCAAGGGAUCGAGCACACCACAUUAGCAUCAAAUUCACCAUCAAUUAAAGCAUCUCCAGCAAAUUUGGUAAUGGAGUGCUCCAGCAGAUUACCAAUCACUUUCCCAAUACCAUUUUUUUUUUUGCAAUCAUAAAAACAAGUCCCUCUCUCUUCCAAAUAGAGGUGAUUCAUCGUCGUUACAAAAUCCACCGUUAUCCUUGACGCUCAGGACAUUUCACAAGAGAACAUGGAGGAGGAGGAGAGCUAGAGAGAGGGAGGAAGAGGAGGAGAUGCUCCCUUGCGCCGCCAUGGAUGAGCCGCGUGGCGGGGAGCUGCUAGUGCUAGCGAGCCCCACAGCACCAAGGGCUCCACUGACGGUAGUGAGGUCAGUCGCCUCCUGGCCUGUGGCGUCGAGGCUUCCAUGCCCGUUGCUCCCCCCAUCUCCGCCGCCGCUGGUGAGCUGGUGAGGUCCGAUGCUUCCUUCUACCACCUCGAGCUGGUCGCAGGGAGGACGGUGUAGGGGCCAAGGCGACCACAGCCUGAUUACGAGCGGGGCAAAGCUUGGAGGCCACCACAGGCGAGCUGUGGAAGCGCGCAUGGAGCACCGCCAGCAAAGGGGAGACGGCCGGGCGCUGGCGUGAGGAGGAGGAGUGGCGAUCGGCGGAUGCGAGGGUGGCGGGGAGCCAGGAGGAAGAGGAAAACUGGAAGAAACGAGGGGAGGAGAAAAAAGAAAAAAAAGAGUAAAGCCUCUGAUGUGUGGGCCCCACGUGUUGGUGGAGGUAUUGGGGAUUAGCUUUUGAUAGUCUGCUGUGUGAGUGAUCAAAAAAUGCAAAAGUAGCUAUUGGAGAUGGAGAAAGAAAGCAUUUUAGCGGUGGAAGAUGAGCAAUCUGCUAGAGAUAGCGUGCCAUGAAUGGACGUCGUGGAGGCCAACCAAUUGGUGGGUAGCGCGGGCAUAUGCGUGCAUGUGGAGGGAGGCGGAUCACCGAUGGAUGGAUCGAUGGGGAGGGGAUUGAAGAGUUUGGUCGCGAGCACACAUGGCAUGGCACGCUUCAUUACUCGCUCUCGCUGGGACAUCAACGUCGUCCGAGCUAUAAGAGGUCGACGACGCUAGCUCGCGCUGUUCACGAGUGAAUGAGCGUGAACUCAAAUCAAAUCAAUCAUGGAUCAUGGUAUCGAUCAUUCACCCGGGCAGCUCAGAGGGGUUGUUGCUUGGGAUUCAAGCACUCGCGCCGACAGGACAUCAACAAAAAAAAUCUCGUGCGUAAACUGGUUUUGUCACUGUGCAUCGGUAUUCGGUUUUUGAGAAAUGUUGCAAAGUUGAUCGGUCAAAAAACUAGGCGUAAACUAGUCAUGGUUGGCUUCUGGCUAAAGUUUUGGUCAGACCUGUUCCAAGAAACACCGUACCAUAGCUUAUUCGUCCAGCAUCGUCCAACCAAACUGGAUGAGAAAUCCUUGUUCGAAGCGGAUUGAUUCAACAGGCGAGCUACUGGAAGAGGUUACACCAUACCAUCGGCGGAACUCAGCGCAACCGUCAUGUGAAAUCCGACAGCGUGACAGGCUGUCGUCUCCACAGUCCGGUGCCGAUCUUCAGUGCUUGCCGAACCAAACCAGCAACACAGUAGGUGACCCGUUUGAUUCGGUUGCAAAACACGUUUUCGAUUAAAGGGUAAAUGGCAAUCAGGUGUAGAAUGAGACUUGUGUGCCUCCAUUUGGAAUCCAUUACAGAUUUAAAUCUGUAGAGCAGUGGAAAGCUUAAGCUGUAUACAAAGUUACAGGCACGCAUUACAAUUCAGAGAACAACUUUUCAGGGUUCAGACCAUCCGCAGCCAUCCAUGGAACAUUGGAAGCACAGCAAGACUGCAAGAGGCAUCGUCGUGCACGCGGGGACAAGCAUGUCCAGCCAGCCAGCCAAAUCUCCAGAGCUGCACGAAGAAAUCUCUCCCACCAAACUGCACAGGCACAGGACGUACCACUACUAGCACUACCACGCUUUUGAAUCAUUGCCAACCCCAAACCAACCUUCCUGUGCUCCUUUCUCCAUGCAUCAACAUGCCCUGGCCGGCUGGCCCUGGCCCCUUUCUCUCUCUCCCUCUGGGCCUGAUGAUUCUGUUGCAAAGGCUGCACUGGGAAGCCGCCAUCAAUGGCCGUGUUUCACCUUUCCCUUCCCCGUCUUCCCCGUGCCGAUCCCUCUGAAAAGAUUCCCCGUCGUCUCGCUUUCUUUCCCAAAGAGGACCACUGGAGUCUGGUCCGGACGGCUGCAUCACUGACUCUCACUGUACUGUGCUUGGACCCUCCUCUCCCUCUCUCACUCAUAACGACAUGGCACCUUUGCAUUGCACCACACUACUAGUAGCCCAGUACCUCUUGAGCAACUUUGGUGGCCUAAUCCAGUGCCCUGAGCUUUGCAUUUGCAGCUCACAGGCACUGCAUGGUUUGGGUUGGUCCUUGUUCCUCAGCAGUUGAGCUGCACAAACCAACUUCUCUUGCACAAGGUAAUGUCUUCAGGCCUGUCUGAGUUGCAAUCCGGUUGUUUUCUCACCUGCUUUGGGUCUUUUAAUCUCCAUUUGCGUGAGUUCAAUCUUACAGUUUCCAAAUGCUUGCAUCUUACUAUUCCAAUCCAACGACAAAGCAAUAAAGAAGUCAUUUUUUUUUUGUCAUUUGAUUCGGUCAGCUCACAUGGUUCCUUGCUGAUGCACACAUUCUCUUCUCCUUCUUCCACCUUGCCGCAGUUCUUGGCAUAGCAUUGCAUCACAUGCCAUGUGAGUAGCUGACCAUAGCUCACUCUUAAGCACCACACCAGCAGCGGCAAACCACCGCUAGAUCUCCCAGGGAUUCGGCGAUGGAGCAGUCCUGCUACUUCCCUCUGCGGUGGGAGAGCACCGGCGACCAGUGGUGGUACGCGUCGCCGAUCGACUGGGCGGCGGCCGACGGCCACUACGACAUCGUGCGCCAGCUGCUGCACCUCGACCCCAACCUGCUCAUCAAGCUCACCUCGCUCCGCCGGAUCCGCCGCCUCGAGGCACUGUGGGACGACGACGCCCGCUUCGCCGACGCGGCCAGGCACCGCGCGUCCGUCGCGCGGAGCCUGCUGCUCGAGUGCGAGUGCAGGAACCACCACCCCGCCGGCGGCGGCGAGAACACGCUGCUCCGGGCCGGGUACGGCGGGUGGGUGCUGUACACGGCGGCGUCCGCCGGGGACGUGGCGUUCGUGCAGGAGCUGCUGGAGAGGGACCCGCUGCUCGUCUUCGGCGAGGGCGAGUACGGCGUCACGGACAUGUUCUACGCGGCGGCGAGGGGAGGGAGCGCCGACGUGUUCAGGCUGCUGCUCGACCACGCCAUGUCGCCGAGGUGCUCGACGAAUUGCCGCGACGGCGAAGGUGGCUCCGGGCGCGGCUCCGUGUUCCGGCUGGAGAUGAUGAGCCGGGCCGUCCACGCCGCGGCGAGAGGCGGGAGCGUGGAGAUGCUGAGAGAGCUGCUCGAGGAGCGGCGCUCCGGCGUUUCCGUGUACCUCGACGUCCGUGGAUCCACCGUGCUGCAUGCCGCUGCUGGGAGGGGCCAGCUGCAGGUGAGGCAUCUGCUUCGUUGCCAUUGCUUGCAGGCAUCUUUUUCCAGAUGCUUUAGAUGUUUUUUGCUUCAAACAUGGAAUCUUGGGUGGAUCAGUUGUUAGUUUGUGCAAUGGUAUCUUCCAUGGAUGAAUGUUCUAGGGUGUUUGCAUGCUUAGGAGUUCGAUUUGCUUCUGGCUCUUCAUCUUGAAUGCUCGGUGCAACGUGGAUUUACUGAAGAUGGAUUUCUUUGAAAUUGUGGUUGAGUUACUUCAUAACAGAUUUUGCUGAGGCUUAUAUGUUUCUCACUUAGCUGGAUGAUAUUGUUCAUACAGAAACGCUGAGUGUCAUCUAAGAUCAAUGUGUUAGUUCACCAAAUUCCUUCAACAAUCUUAAUAGUUUAAUGUGACAGUGAUAUCACAUCCAGAUGGCAAAUGUUCCUUGUGUGAUUUUAGUCACUGGUUAGAGUUUACCUUGCACAACAGUAUAACUAUUAAGGUAGGGAGUCGCUAUAUACUUGUUGACAGGCCUUUUUAUUUCCUUUCUUGGUAUGAUACUAAACAUAGUUAUCAACUCGUACAGUUCAUGAUCAGAAUGUGUAGGAUGUUUAGUUAGAUAUAAAGCUAGCUUCCUUUCUGAUUAAAUUAGUCAAUAUGUCCCUUUCUAAUUACUAGCAAUUAUGCCCGUGGGUUGCAAUGGGAGAAUUCGUUCCGAUGUGAAAAAGAUAUUGAUCUAAAAUUCAUGUGAUUAGCAUAAAUGAAAAAUAUAUAUAUAUAUUACAUGCCUUGCUAUGUAGCAUGAGGGAACAAACGUGGUCUAUUUGUUAUUUGGGCUGUUAAACCCUAAAGCCCAAAUUAGUUGCAUAUACAGACCCAAUCCAAAGAGAAAAUAAACAAGACCGGUAACUUGACCUCAUCGGCAGGGUGUUGUGGUGGUUCCUCACGCCGCCACCGCCGUCGUGCGUGCAUUGCAGUGGUUCCUUGCUAGAGCCUCGCCGGGACAAAGAUUCCAGCCACCAAUUUCAUAUAUGAGGGUACCAGGAGAGAGAGGAGAUUAUGUAGAUUUCAUUUUGGUGGUUUCAGACAAUGAUUAUUAAAGUGUGGAGGAAAGCCGACCAAGAAUGACCAUUAUUGCUGUUGUUCUGGAGCUCGUGAGGACAUGGCGUACUGUAGAGGAAAGAUGAAGUGGCUGGGAAGAGGGAGUUGGUGGAGGAGAAGCUUGCUAGGGCCUAACCUUGAUUGAUUGUUGCUUGGAGAAGGAGAUUGAUGGAGCCAUGCUUUCGUGGAGAGAAACAACGAAAGGGGAGGAGGUGAGCGGUGCAGCUGGGCGGCUCGGCAGGCUCGUCAUGGUACAGUAGAGGCGCUCGGCAGGAGCCGCAGGGCUAUAGGCAUCAGGCAACGCCGAACUUUGCCAGCUUGUUCAGAUGGAGGAUCAAGGAUGGCAGUAGCACGUAGAAGCUGAGACGGAGACCUGUCGAGCGGAACCGUGAUGAACUCAGAUAGAGACGACGGUCAAAAAAAGAGGAAACCAAAAAACAGACAGACGAACCAAAAACCAAAGAAUUAAAGGGCAGCACUCGUGAAGGAUUUGUUCUGUACUUGUGAAGGAAAGGCUGGACUUGAGGUCAAUUGCAAUAAAGUUUGGGAACCUUUUUGUAAAAUUAUCAAGAACUAUUCCAAGGACUGGUUGAGGGACUUUUUUGCAAAACAACCACGACGGUUGGAAGAAACAACCGCACUUUAAUAUUAGGUAGAGAUAGAGAUUUGACACCAGAGUGUAUAAACUUCCUGCUGUUCCAGUUUAGCUGAAAUAAGAUCACCGGAAAGAACUACUUUUUAGAUCCACAAACUUCUUGAUGCUAUGCAGCCAAGCUUUAUAUCCUGCUGCUGAUAUCCAGACAACUCUGUUCCUGUUCCUUGAUGUUGCUAUGCAACCAUAUCCUUGUCUACUUUCAGUUGUAUGUAGCUGUGAAUUGCAAAGUAGAAGUUUCGUCUUUCUGCACCUCAUGUUGUACUCAUGUUGUAAACAUACCUUAUGCAGGUUGUCAAGUACCUUCUGGCCUCUUUCGACAUAAUCAAUUCAACUGAUAAUCACGGGAAUACAGCAUUACAUGUAGCAGCCUAUCGAGGGCACCAACCUGUUGUCGAAGCAUUGGUUACUGCAUCGCCAUCAACCUUGUCAGCUAUCAACAAUGCUGGUGAUACGUUUCUCCAUUCAGCAGUUGCAGGAUUCAGGACCCCAGGAUUCCGACGGCUUGACCACCAAUUGGACUUGAUGAGAUAUCUCAUACGCGAAAGAACGACAGAUAUCCAGAAGAUCAUCAACCUGAAAAACGACGCCGGACUUACCGCCCUUCACCUAGCUGUGGUUGGCUGCGCGCACCCAGACCUCGUGGAGCUCUUGACGACCACCCCGUCAAUCGACCUCAAUGCUGAAGACGCCAAUGGCAUGACCGCACUGGCACUGCUGAAGCAGCAGCUGCGUUCAGCAACGUCCGACCGCCUCAUCAAGCAGAUAGUCUCUGCCGGAGGAAUAUUGAAUUCCAGCAUUCUGAGAACCCGGUCAGCCAUCGCGUCCCAGAUUAAGAUGCAGGGGGGGUUCGCAAGCAGUCCCGGAACCACUUUCAAGGUAUCAGAUGCAGAGAUCUUCCUAUUCUCGGGUAUCGGAGCUGCAGAGUCUCAAAGGCCAAGCUCUUGCUCCAGCAAUGGCAAGGAUGACCCUGCUCACGCAGAUGCAAGCGGCGCGGAAAACCAUAGAUCGUCGGAGAAGAGGCUGAGCUCUGCGAGCCGUGCCAAGGACCGUCUGAAGAUGAUGCUGAGAUGGCCCCGGCACAAGGAGAAGAUGUCCAAGACGCCGAAGAAAUCGGAGGAGAGCAGCCCGCUGGACUCCAUCAAGAGGCUGGGCGAGCACGGCGUCGAGACCCCGGCUCCCCUGAGGCAGAAGUUCACCAAGACGACGGCGCUCAACGGAAAGCGGACGCUUGCGGUGAAGAGCUCCACCCCGAGCUCCUCGUCGGCCACCAAGAAGAAACUCAACACGAAGCUGAUCCACGGCAUCAUGGAGGCGAUGCCGCAGCUGGCGGCGCCGUCGUCCGCGGCGCGGUCCCGGGCCACGAGCGACACCCUCCCGAGGUCGUCCAUGUCGUCCACCGCGCCGCCACCGACGCUGGCGAAGCUGAAGGACAUCUGCCUGGACGACGAGAUCUCCAUGGUGACGCCGCCCCCCGUCGGGAGGCUGAAGGACAUCAUCCUGGACAGCGACGACGCCGCGGAGGAGCCCUCGUGCUCCAACUCGUCCAUGGACGAUGGCAGCGGCGGCGACACGGGAGAGAGCGCGGCCCGGAAGCACGGGUGCGGCAACGGGAGGCUGAUCAACAUCUGCUUCGGCGCGCAGGGCCUCACCGUGGAGGACUCGGUGAGCGGGCAGCCGACGAGCAAGAUGUUCAAGCAGCAGUGCCUCAGGGUGUCAUGAUUGGUGUGGUGCUUCGUUGAGCUCCAUGGUUAACUGAUGCGUGUAUCAUAGCGUGGUGUGAACUGUGAUUGGUUUGGUAUCUCUCGCGUGUAGCAAGGCGUGAUUGAUUUUCUGGCUGUGCCGCCUUGCAUUACUAGUGGCGAUCCAAUGUAUUUGUUCUUGUGUUAAACUGAUGCUGGUGACGAAUUCACAGCUCAUUUCUAAUUCAGAGACGUCCUUGAUUAAAACUUUAGGAGGCUUUUGGGUAAUCCAGUACAGCAAUAUCAAACAGGGAAGAGAUUUCUCGCUGGCAGGCAAAAGAAAUGGCGCCUUCACGACGACGACGACAAACUGCGGAAACGUAGUUACAGAAGAUAGAAGCAAAAAAACUGGACGUGCAUCUGCAAAACAACAUUUCCUGUAAAUGCUAAGCAAGAGCAGUUCAUUUCGCUCAUGCCCAACAAACUAGAACUUCCUUCACUACAUCAAAAUUCGGAUUUACAGCAGGAAGCAACUACACAAUCUAAAAUAAGAAAAAAAUAAACAACAGAAGAUGAGAACUGCUAUAAGCCGCUGAGCAAACCCACUUGAAAUAGAGGUGUUGCAGCAAACAAUGUGCCAUUUGAACCUCACCAGUUCGGCAUCAUUUUUGUAUUAUCAUGUUGCCAUCACUCUUCUGCGGUGGCGUCAAAAAAUUACCUUCCUCUAGGCACAUAAAUAUGUUCACUUUGGAGCUGUCCACGGUGACCUCGACCUCCAGUGCUCCUCCUUCAAGCACAAGAUCUCUCUGUUUUUACAAAUGUUCAAGGUGAUUUUCAUCCUCCAGGCUCGACUCACAUCAGCAGCACCAAAACUGAUGGCUCUCACACACCAGUUUAGAAGCAAUUGAGCAUCCACCGUGUGCAACUGUCCAGCCAUCACCAGGCAAACAUUUAGCCCCGAGAGGCGAUCGCUUUGUUGGAUCAAUAGGUUGGCAACAGCCUCUUGCCCUUGAAAGGGCACGGAAGCCAACACAGCACCAUCAAUUGAUCUCUCCUUCCUCUGCUUCUUUAACACUGGGAACACUGCUCGGCUCUUCGUCAUCCUCCUCCUCAUCUGCCUUCAUGAACAAUCCAAGUUGUUCCAACGGAUUGACAGAUCCCGGAAGAAAACCAGGCAUGCAAUCUUGGGAGUGCUCUGGACUAGUCUCAUCAACAGAGCUCACAAUAUGUUCUGCUGUGGCUGUUCCAAGCAUUUCCAAGUCCUUGAGAUGGAGGUUAUCAUUAAUUUCUACAGUUCUCUCCAUCUGCAUAUUGGAUUUAAUUUUUCAGCAAAAUGGCAAAAACAGGAAAUCACGAUUACUUGUAGAUGAGGUUUCCACUUACCUCCUGUAGGGCCUGGCGAGCCUUUUCCCUCUCGAAGUCCCGUUUCCGCUUCGCUUCGGCUUCGGCUUCAGCUCUACGAGCCUCCAUGGCUGCAUUGCCUUCAGCCAACAGCCGUGCUUUCUCUGCAUCCACAAAUAAUGAAAAAAACAACGCUUGAGGGAGGGAGGGAGGGAGGGAACAACUAGCAGCAACAAUUCAGGUGGAUAUGCCUUUUACCUUCCUUCUGGAGCUUUUCCAGUUCCUCCUGCUUGUCCCCACCCUGAACAAUAGAUCAAUAAAGGUCAGGGAUGAGUCACAUUAUGAACUGAAUCAGUAAUGGAAGAUGCUCAAUGAACAAGGUCCUAUUACCUGGCUCAGAAUGCCACGAGCUUUGACAAUCACAUCAGCGUAACGGCUCCUCAAAACGGCUGCUCGCAAGAGCCUGUCCGGUGAAACUUGCGUAUCGGGUUUUGAGUUUUCCCCUAAAUGUUUCAUUGGGAAAGGAUCAGAUGAUCCGAUCAUCUUAGUGCGCUGAGACUGCUCAACAGUCUCAUAUGCCUACAAAUUCAUGCUUACCCUCUGGUGCAGGCUUUGAUUCACUAUCCUCUUCACGGAGUCCCACAAUAUCAGCAGGACCUGUGGUUUAAGGACCCGUUAGCCCACAAAUAGAAAUAAUUCAAAAUACAGUUUGCAGCAGAAUAGCUAACAGUCACAGGAAGAAACCAUACAGUUGACAUCAGCUGGACUAAUAACGUCACUCUUUUCUUGCUCCACCAGCUGAUCAGGUUUCUUAGGCCCCUAAAAUUAAGGAAAAAAAGAUCAUUUCAGUACAGAUCAGUUAACUAAAUUGAAAGGAAAUCCACAUGUUGCCACAAGAAAUCUACAUCAGAAUAUAUAAAGGUUAACCUAUCAACAGAAUGGCAGGACAAUUUGAAUGCAGUUUUACAGAAGUUAACCUAUCAUAAGAACAAAGGUAUUUGCCAAAGAGACACGAAUGCUGCUGUCAGCAGGAGCAGCAAGAAAACAGGAGAUUGUUGGUAAAAAGUGCCAGUGACUAUGGUGGGAGUAAGCAAACAUCAGAAGAGAGGAAACAAACACCAAAACUGCCUCCAGUCACAAACAAAUGAUGUCUUGGACAUUGAUAGUCUCCGAAACAUGGAUUUGACUUAACACUUCUUUUACGAACCAUUUGUGAAACAUAGCAAAACUAUACUUUAACAUUUCCUGACAUCUAUCCAUACUCCAUACUUUUUUAUAAAUAUAUACAACAUUUAGGUAGUUCAAAAAUUAACAAAUUCGCUUGUCCAAACAAUUAACAUAACAUGUAACCGAAAUUUGAAUCAUUUAUUGAAGACAACCCCAAAACAUCACUUAUUUGUGACCGGAUGAAGUAAUAUAUUUAGACUACUGAUCACUCAAAUAAUCCAUUCACUAAUAAGGUUCAAAGGUCUAUUAUUAUUUCUAAAGCACCCAAUUAUAAUCACCCAAGUACCUUUGCAAGCUUUGCUGGGCUGCCUUGUCCAAACAAUUAACAUAACAUGUAACCGAAAUUUGAAUCAUUUAUUGAAGACAACCCCAAAACAUCACUUAUUUGUGACCGGAUGAAGUAAUAUAUUUAGACUACUGAUCACUCAAAUAAUCCAUUCACUAAUAAGGUUCAAAGGUCUAUUAUUAUUUCUAAAGCACCCAAUUAUAAUCACCCAAGUACCUUUGCAAGCUUUGCUGGGCUGCCCACUUUUUCAGAUUCGCUUUCAGAGUCGCUGCCUGAGUCAGAAUCUGCAUUACCAACACCAUUGUAAAAAUCUUGGGACUUUUUGAUAUCUCAAAACUGGAGAAGUUUCAAGACAGAUUUUACUAUAUGACUGUUCUGCGCAUUGCCCAAACAAUCAAAAGUUUCCAGGAGCUUAAUCUAUGAUGUUAGUUAGCUAUUAACUAGUACGGAUGAGGGAAGUGCAGCAUGGUGUCCUGCUGAAUUGAAUCCUUAACAGCCCAUUUCUUCUUUGAAUCCCGCUAAAAAUUACCAAAGGGGGAAAUCAUGACACGCACGACACUUGUUAAGUGCCAAGUUCGCUCCUCUACUUUUAGUUCCAUGCCAAAUUUGCCACUCCCUUCUCAGAGUUUUUAACUAACAUAGAAAUAUGAUACUAACAUAUUAAAAAAGAAAAACGUGAAGUGAUAAUAACCAUGUUUUCAAAGGAUUUACAUAGAGUUGGGAAGGAAAGCAGCAUUUUCAUUAUACAAGAAUGUCUAUAAUAAUAGUAAUAAAUGCAGAUAAACACUGUGAGACACAGACCGCUAGAAGAUGAUUCAGAUUCGCUGCUGGAACUACUUGGACUAACGCACUUGUUACUCCUGAGUUGUGCAUCUUUGUCUAACAUGAUUGGGGAGGCAUUGCCACAGAUAUCCACAUCCUCCUCGAUAGGCUCGCCACCUGCAUGCAAACCAAAAAACCAAAUUUUGACUACUGCACAAAAGGCAUGUAAUUUAAAUCCAGUGAGAAUUUCAAGGUAGAAGGAAAUAAACCUUUGCAAGGAUUUGUAGACGAGUGGCUAAGGCCAGAAACAUUCACAGCUUCGUUCUCAGAAGGCUCAGAUUUCACCUGCUGAUUCUGCUCUCGCUCCUGCAAAUACUUGUCAACCUGUUUCUUCAGCUCGAAUAGCAGGUCAUCACUGACUGCCUGGAUAUCAAUCUCUAUCUCUCCAUCACCAGCAGUAUCCGUAUUGCUGUCCAUGCAUUGCUGCAGCAGUUCAACGAUGUGAGCAGGUAAAUCAUCGGCUAUUUCUGCCAAUGAAUUCCCAAAGGCUUCUCUCUCAGCAGCUGUCAUCUUCGGCUUUACAGGCUCUGUUUGCCGUAGACCCUCCACUGACACAUCACUGCGGUCCACGGGAGGAGUUUUCCUCCUCUUUGAGUCAGCCUUGUCAACAUCAACAUGCUUCUCAAUGGCUGCAGAAGCCAACUUCUUCUCAACUGUUCUCCAUCUAUUUUCAAACAUCUUGUUCAGCUGGAUGGCCAUGUCAUGCACAGCAUGGCCACGAGGAUUGUAAGUCAUUGCGUUGUUGAAGGUCAGCCUAACAUCAGCAGCAAAAUCUGAUGGACUUGUGUAUGAGCCAGAUUCGAGCUUCUUUUGGACAGUACCAAGAUCCAUUGGGGUCUUGAUAAUGUCAAAGUAAUCAGGAAUUUGCAGCUUCACGACAUCAACUGGGAUAUUGAAUAUAUGACUAUAUUUCUGAGUCAUGAGCUUCUUCAAAAUAGCUUCACACUGCUUAAACACUGCAGCUUCAGAUAACUCCACAGAAGGUUCAGGCCGGGGUUUCGUAGGCAAGAACCGUCCCUUUGCACCACGGAUGACAUUGGUCCCGCGGUGCAGCUUCUUGGCUCGAGGGGCAGCCGAGGAAGACAACGCAGGUGCCCGACUCACAGGAGCAGGGGCUGCAAACGCUGGCUUCUUGAGGAGAUCUCGCACGGAAUCAAGCUCUGCCCGGAAUCUCUUCCGAAGAUACCGACGCUCAGACGAGGACAUCUUGGACGGCACAAAGAUCUCCCGCUUCACGUCAAAGCCAUCGCUGUUCAGGCUGAUGCACUUGCGCUUGGGCGCUGCCGAGACCUCGGAAUCAACACAAACAGGGCUGCCAGCUGCACCUUCCGACUCCCCAACAGUCUCUGAGUAGCCCCGAGGCGCGGCUGCCGCCACGCCCCGGAAGGCCAUUUCCUCAUAGCCCCGUUUUAUGGGCCUCUGCUGCCCAAACUCCAUUAGGACCGUCGGUGUCAUAUGCCCAGGCGCCAGCGGGACACGGAUCUGUUCACCAUUUACAACCAUCUUCAGCGACAACAGACACCAGAUUCAAACUUCACAAGCAACAAUACAAAGCAUGUACAGACCACAACUAACAAUAUCCUCUCCAAAACCCUUAUCCGAAACGGGAACCUAAUCCCAACCCGAACCCACCAACUGCGCACUAAUACAACGCCACACCGCUCAAAUCCUCAAAUUCGCGCCCGAACCAGAAACCUAGCCGCACCAAUCGAAGAAAACCCCCGAAAUCCGAAGCUACCCCCAAAUUCGAAGCAAGAAGGGAUACGAGCCCUGACCUGGUAACGCUGGAUCUGAAGGAGCUGGGACCCCAAGGACGGGAUCCGGGCGCGAGGGGACAGCGUCCAGGCGAGGGCGCGCCGGCGAGCUGGAUCUGCGCUGGAGAAGAACGGAUCUGGGAGCGCGGUGGCCGCCCGGUCGCGCCUCGCCUUAUCCUCUUUUUUAUUUUCCGCCUCCUCGCCGCUCGAGUCGAGUCGUCUCCGUGCUGCUUGCUUAUCCUUUUUUUCUUUCCUUUUCCUUCUCGAAGAGACCGGGCCUAGAGAGCGAGCGAACCCGAAGUGUGGAGACCCGCUACUGGCUCCCGCGCACCCGAACUCGAAGCGGUGCGGUGCGAGCAAUGCGACUGUGACGCGCGGGGUGGCGAGCGGGCUCGGGGUGCGUAUUUAUAGGCCUGGGAGGGGCGCCGGGGCGGUGCAAGUCGGAUCCGAGCCGUCGGCUCGCGGGGAUCGGACGGACCAGGAGUCAGAUCCGGGGGUGGGCCCGUGGUGAACGGGUGGGGCACGACGUGACGUGGAGGCCGGGGGCGCUUUGACUUUCUUCGAGAUGGUUUCCUACCGGACGCGGGGUUUGUCGCCUGAUGUGCCCAUGACCGGUGGGGUAGGGUGGUUGUCUGGGUCCACACAUCAUGGAGAGUGCGUCGGAGGGGAGGAGUAGGCGUUGGGGAUCGGCCGUCUUUUGUCGAGCACGCGGGAUCUGGGUACGGUUUGGGCGCGGGGGUGACUUGGUGGAGAAGGAUACAUGACACGUGGAAGCAGCUGCGUGGCUGGGUCCCCUGCUGAGGUGUCGGGCGAGAGUAUGUAACGGGUUUGGGGUUUUGGGUCCCGGUACAUCUGGAAGCAUAGGUGUGCCGGGUCGGCUUGGGCCGGGUCUUACAGCUUUAGGUCCACUUGUGUUAUGGACCAAAAACUUAUCGCUUUGCUGUUGUAUAAUACCCGUUAUUAGCCCAGUACGGUUACGGAAUGUGCUUUUUUGGGCCGUACUUUUGCACAUGGGGUGCUGGCGGUUUCAAACUUUUCAAAGUCUCGUGGGCUUAAUCUGGUUGCUUUCGAGAACUUCGAUUUUCCUUUUUUGCAAAGGACUUUUCGAAAUUCAGUUAACUAGAGGCCGACAAAUGUGUCAGCGGCCACCAAAGAAAUUAAUACCACGCUUGAGGAACAGAUUCAGGACGAAUUAUCUUUGGCUAAAGUUUUGGUUUACGCUUUACACACCUUCUAAUAUUUAAGAUGUUUGCUGUAAUAUAUGGAUGACUACAACUAUAUGGGUGAACAAGUCGACCAAAUAUAUAUGUGACCUCAUAAUUGUCAGUAUAUUUGAAAUGUUACGUUAAUAUUCCCAAAUUAUUGAAUCAGUUAAUCACGUUUAUAAUGUUGAAGGCAAUACGGAUAAGGUGAGCGAACUAGGUUAGCUAGCCAAUCAUAUGUGUAUUCGAUCCUCCAAAAAUGUUGAAAUGGCAUAUCCAAAAUAUUGAAAUGUUGCAAUUGUUUCGCCUGCUCUUAUCACGACUUCCAUCGCAAAAAUGAGUAGUCUGACAAGGUAUAUGGGCACAAGGAGCGUGUAAAAAAAAUUCCUUUUUAUGUGAAUCCUAUUGUUUUUUUAUUUGUGUUCUUGCCCUUCUUUAAAGUGUAAUUGUGAUUUUACCCUCGUUUCUCCAACUUUGUGAUUUUGCCCUCAAUUAUUCACAAGCCAAUGCGAUUUUGUUCCUAGUCAAUGGUCAAAACAGGAGUAAAUACGCAAAGAUCAAGAGCAAAAUCAUAUUGAAUUGUAAAUGGCUGAGGGCAAAAUCAUAAAGUUGAAAAAUCAAUGGUAAAAAUACAAUUGCAUUUCGGAGUAUGGGUAAGAUAAAAAAAACUUUGUUUUUGCCGUGCCAGAACAAGACCCUGCAAUGCCAGUGGGUCAUCGGCUCAUCGCUAGUGAACCUCACAAUGCACGUUCGAUUCUCUUUUCCAUCCAAAACAGUGCCUACAAUCAGGAAUGCUUAUGAGACCUGUGCGACUGCAAACACGCGUCCCGCUCAUAUUCGCUGCUGUGCAGGGGGGCUAGGGGCUAUAGCCCCCCCUUUGCCAAGAACACCAUUGAAAUCAAUGGAGGAAGAUGAGAAGAGAGGGAAAAAAGAAGAAAGAGUGGAGAUGGACUUGGAAGAAGAAAUAAAGCCCACCCAAACUCCCAAUCCUUCAUCCGACCACUGCUGCUGUGAAAUGGAUUGUUAAUAAAUCGACUUGCAUAGACACAUGCCACAAGUCCUCAACAAGCUAAGGCCGGUCAGUGUCACGGGGCUUUUGUGGGCAUUUAAUUUCAUGCCACAUCAGCAAAACUGCUGACGUGAUAGGCUAAUUAUGAGGAGAGAAGAGACGGGAGUUUCAUCCCCAUGAAACCUACUUGUCACAGUUACCAAGUCCUAUGAAAUUCAAUAAAACUUGUACUGAGCAUGUUAUGGUUUCAUGACAAGACACAUUUGAUUAUAGAACAACGUAAAAAUUAAAUGAUUUAAGCCCUGUUGGAUAGUAACAUCCCACUUUUAACACAUUUUUAUCACAUUGCCUCCCAAACACAUGUGUUAAAAGGGAUGUGUUAAAGUUUAACACCCCAAUUUCAUAAACACCUCAAGGGGGUGUUAAAAGUUGUUAAACUUGUUAAAAGUGGUCCCCUCUCCACUUUUUUCCACCAUUGCCCCCCUUUCUCUCUCCCUCUCUCUCCGCCGGCCAUAAAUGAGGGGGCAAUGGAGUCAUUUCCCACCAAAAGUGUUAAAGUUUAACACCAUCCAAAUAUCCCAAUCACUCCAUUUGAGACUAUUAAAACUUUAACACUUAUUAAACUUUAACACAAGGUAUCCAAACAGACCCUUAGUCUAUUUGAAACUGUGCAAUGAAAUUAUGCGUUGAGAGUGUUACAUUUCAUUGAAAAUCUGACAUAGCACUCUUAGUAAUUGUGCGAUAAAAUCAUGCACUGAGAAUGACAUAAUACCAUCUCCUAAAACGGAAAUGCAAAGCCGAUGGACCAUCAAUGAUCAAACAACCGAACAAAUCUAGGCAUGCCGGCAGGCCGGGGCACGGCGGAUCCGCGACCUACCGCUCCCCGCGCACAUGGCCGUCGCCUUGGAUCCUAGCACGCCGGAGGGGAACAAAACCACGUGCUCGCUCCUUACGCGCACGCGGUUCUAUCUCGAGAGCCCCAUGACGCCCGGCUACGAACAAAACCGCUGCAGGCGCCGCCCCGAAUCUCAAAGUGCCGGGGGAGGCUCAGCUCCGCUCGUGCGCCACCGCGCAGCGCGCCGCGAAACAGGGGUCCCAGGUCCGGCGGUGGCAUGUUUUCUGGACGCCAACCUUUUCUGUGCCCCUGCAGCUCGCAGCUCGCUGACGCUGAUGGCGAUGGUGAUGCCGUGCGUGCGUGCUUGGUCGCCCGGAUUUGGGGGGCGAGGCCGCUUUGACCCCCCGAGAAGCGGUCAUGUGCCGGGGUGCCCGUCCGGCCAGCCGCGCGUCGCCGAGCUGGCCGGAGGGAGCACGGUGUGCCGCUGUGCGCCGCGCGUGGCACAGUGCCGAGGCCAAUCAUGAGCCCCCGCCUCCGGCCUCCGGGCAUUUUCUGGUGGCUCUGGCUCCCCGUCCCGCCGCAGAGCAGACGUGACGCGCAGUCACUGCACGCCGUCGCCAUCGCUCCAUUCAGUGCACCCCUCGCUCUCUCGUGUCAUCCAGCUAUCUCGUGUCGUACGUCUUGGCAACCUCUUCUUAUUCCCGCCCCCCUGGUCCCUGCAUCUCCGAGCUUACCUCAGCUUGCUGCCAUCUUUUGCUGUCCUUCCAGUUCAGACCACUUCCUGUCUCUGCCAUCCAGUGGAUCGCCGUUCUCUGUGUCCUUGUUCGUCGUGUGCAGUUCUUGGAGAUGAGGAGAUCGUCUCCGGGGAUGAUGAACCGAAGCUACGACGCGGGCAGCGGGGGAAGGGGGCUGCUGGCCUGCUACGUGAGGGCAAAGCCGAGGCCGUCCAAGUGGGACGACGCGCAGCGGUGGCUCUCCGCCUCCUCCUCCUCCUCCCAGGCGCCCGACGACGACCGGCGCCGGAGCUCCUGCGCCGACGACCGGCUGCUGCUGCCGUCCGCGUCGCAGAAGGGGAGGCACUCGUGGAGCACCUCGGACGCCGCCGCCGCUGCCGUGCCCGCGGCGGCGCGGGAGGACGGGGAGGCGGAGGCCGGGGCGGAGACCAAGAGGAUGGACUCCGUGCUGGCGUACGGGCAGCAGCCGCCAAGGAGCCUCUCGCUGCGGGACAUCGGCACGGAGAUGACGCCGGCCGGGAGCAAGGAGGCGUCCAGGGCCAACACGCCUCGCGCCACCCUGGCGGCCGAGCCGUCACCGGCGCCGUCCACGACAAGGCGCUCGAGCGAAUCCCACGCGUCGCGGCGCCGGCCGGACGCGACGAGCGGCGGAUCGCCACCGGGCCAAGCGGCGGCCGCGGCCUGCGAUGGCGCCGGCGCCGGCGCCGAGGAGCGGAAGGAAGCUGCGGCGGCCGGCGCGCCGGCGGCCGUGUCGCCGGCCACGGCGUGGGACGCGGCCGAGCGCGCCAAGCACAUGGCAAGGUGACCGCCGGCCCAUCCCUCCUUGUCCGCUACUACUAGCAAUGCGGUGCUUUCUCUUUCUCCUCCGCACGUUGCCGAGCCAUGUGUACUCACCACCGAGUCAUCGCGCCGACACGCCAGGAAGACCUUUUCGGAGCUUGUAGUACUGUGCGUGCUGACGACGUCACUUCCUUUUCACAGGUACCGGCGCGAGGAGAUGAAGAUACAGGCCUGGGAGAACCGGCGGCGGCAGAAGGCCGAGCUGGAGAUGAAGAUGGCCGAGGUACGACCACGUUUCAGCUCCAUCAAUCAUCCUGCAGAUAACCAUUGGACCUGCCGAACACCAGAGAAGCAGCCCUAAACGUUGAACUUCGGACAAUGAGAAUGGCUGGCUUGGUUUUGCUGUGGCAGGCCAAGGCGGAGAGGAUGAAGCUGCGGGCGCGGGAGAAGACGGCGAGCAAGCUGGCCUCGGCGCAGGCGGCGGCCAGGGAGAAGCGCGCGGCGGCGGAGGCCAAGCUGAGCCGGCGCGCCGCGCGGGUCGGGGACAGGGCGGACGUGCUGCGGCGGACCGGGCACCUGCCGUCCUCCUCCGGGUUCUCGCUCAAGCUGCCGCUGCUGUGCAGCUGAACCUGAACGCGCGAGGCCGGGCACGUGCCGGGGGCGCCGGGGUCGCUUGCGGGUUUGGGACUUGGGACAUCGCUCGUGCGCGGUAUAUUUCCGGAUCCGGGCGUUGUUGAUACGUGGCCGAGCAGUGGUGGAUGCACGUGUGUGUUUUUGUUGUCUGGUGGUGGCUAUGACUACAGACUGGAGGGUGCGUGCGGCGUGGGGUGUGGCAGUGUCGAUACGGGUGGUGUUCAGAGAGUCGACGACAUGGUCGGGGCGUUUACUCGCGUCCUGUUUCGACCGUGCGGGUUGUGAUGCACGGCACAGAGUUGAAGGCGGUAUUUUAUCUGCAAAAGUCAAUAAAGAAAAAAAAAGAUGCAUUUUAAAUCUUCUUCACGGUUUCAUUUUGACUGGAAGGAGCGGUAAUUGUUAGUACUCUUAACGCAUUCAAACAGAUGUUUACCUCUCAGCUCUUCUUUCAGCUGACUGAAAAAGGAGUGAUAGACGUAAAUGCUCUUAGUCGUAAAAUGUUUACCUUUUGUUUUCUGCCACGCUUCAUUUCUUUCCCUUAAUUAGUAUUUUGAUACUUCUCAAAUCAUCAGCAAAGUUUCAACGGAAUGACUAUGGUGGAAAGGUUCUUAGACAUAAAACUAUGUGCUGGGCUUUUCCUACGAAUCUUCCACGAGUAAUGACGAGCAGGUACUGAGCGCAUCAGGUUUGAUGGAAUUAUCCACCGGACGAGGGAUUUGUUUUAAUUCCUUUUUCAAGAAAAUGGUAGUGCGUGUACUGUUGUUCUCAUAUUCUCCAAUAUUCUCUCUUUUCAUAUCUCCAUGAGAUCCUUGAUUAAGAAAGUUCAACUUCCAACCACUAAUUAUAUAUCACUUUGCUCAAGCCAUAACUGUUAAGUCUCGAUCUCUCCUUCACUCAAACCGGGGUUGGCUUACAUCGUGCAAAACUUCAACCAUGAAAAAUUGCUAAGUCGAUAUACACCGGUGUUUGGCUGGAGACCUUGUUGGCCUCAUUUGGAUGCAACCAAUAACUUAAAUGUGAUUUUGGUACUUGUACAUUUAUUAAAUGUCACACGCUUUAGAUCAUUGUUUGCAUUUUUCCUCUGACAAUUGCUUUCAAAUUCAAUGCAUGGCUAUAUCUAUGGUGCUUGCAUUCUACACCUCUUUUUUUUCUUUCUUUCUUCCUUUCUUUUUUCUAAAGGGUUGCAUCCUUCCACUAGGGGCACUCCAUUCCUCUUAGAAAGUCAUGUUUGGCGCCCCCCGGCUAAAUUUCUUCUUGAUACCUUGGUAUUUUUAUCAAUAUAGUUAGAGUGUGCCUUAAGCUAUUGUUGUUAGUCGUUUGCCAAAUUGCCACAUACGUCUCAUCUUACCCUUCACCUCCGUGACAUCGAUAGCGCUUUUCUUCACUUUUACAAUUGCAUUUUUUAUUCAUUAUAGCAUCAUUUUUUUUGCUUGAGACCUCAUAACCUCAUGCUUGAAUAGUUACAGCCGACAUCGAACUAGUGUUGCAUGUUUGCGUUGCCACAUUUGUCUCUUACCGUCCGGAUUUCUUUCCUUGCCAAGCUCUUCACACCUAACUACAUCGCGUAGGGGUGGCCGGGUGGGCAUCUCAAUACAAAUUGUUUUGCACCUCAAUCUUGGGCUACUUAUACUUCUAUUUUGUAAACGAAAUAAGCUGAAAUGAUGAAACUAUUUAUUUUCUUGUGAAGCCAUACGACAAUAUGCAUUCAUAUAUGUGAUCGACAGACUUGAUGCAAAGCCACUGUGCUAUGCCUUGUCAUAGUUCCUAUUCCAUACAAUUUCUUCCGAGAGGUCGUUGCCAUUCCAUGCAUUCGGGUAAGGAAAAUCUGCUUAAAACCGACAUGCCAUUAUUCUUGUCAAACCGGUAGCCACUGACACCGUGCCCCACCCUCAAGUCGGCGAGGAAGCUUCUGACCACGCGCUCCCGCCAAAGGCGUCGGACGUUACCGUGACCUGCCCAAAACCCACUGACAACUUGGAUCCGCCUCAGUACGUACAUCAGACCCCACCUGUCAUCGGCAUCGCUGCUCCGCGCCCCGCCCGAGUUCGACGCGGUAUCUCCACGAAGCCGCACGAAGGAGUGGACAACUCAAGCUUUGCCUUCCCAGUUCCCCCCUCUCCAUUAUUCGCGUCACCGAGCCGCCUCCAUCGCCCCAAGUCCAACCCACCUGAUUCCUCUCCGCGUCCGCGCGUCGCCGCCUUUCCGAUAAAGCUUUCGCGCGGCGCAGGCAAAAUCGCUCAAAUCCGAGCCCCGGUUCUCCCAAUUCUCCGAUCUGAUCGUUGUGAGGUCUUGUCCUACCGCCAAUUCUACCCUAGCGCGCCCGAAUUUUUUUUCUAGGGUUCGCGGUUGUAGUUCGGGGAUCUAGGGUUCGGCUGCCAAUUUCGCCGUCAAUUUUGGCGAUCCACUUGAUUCGCUCGGUUUUGAGGGAUCCCUGCUUGCGCCUGCGCCCAUGGCCGCGGCGCGACACGCAGGCUACAGGAGCCACGAAGUGGCGAGGGGGCGGGAGCUCGACCUGGAGCGCUCCAGAAGGAGCAAGGAGUAUCACCACCACCACCACCGCCACCCGAGCCGCGACCGUGACUCUGACCGUCGCCGUGACGCUGGCCGCAGCGGGGGCCGCGAGGUCUCCAACCGGCACCGCCACCACCACUCGCCGUAUCCGCCACCGAGGAGCCGACCGUCAAGAAGGGAGGAGGAUAGGGAGCCUGGCGAGGUCUCGAGCGGCAGCGGCUCGGAGGAGUCCGGUGGGCGCCCACUGAAGGCCAGGGCGCCGAGGGAGGAUGGUGUUCUGGGAGUCUGCAAAGACGGCAGUGUGGUGCUACCAAGUAAGAAGAGGAAGCACUCACCUGUAAUCCCGGAUGAGAAUGUUUCUGAGCUGCAGGCAAUAGAUGGUUUCAGGAGCAGGAGAGGGAUAGACACCUCAGUGGCGGAGCUCCCUCUGCCUUCGCCGCCUCCUUUAUCAGAUGAGAGUCCUAUGGACGCGGUUGGUAGGUGCCCAACAAUGAAUUUGGGUGUUUCAGUGGUUACACAUGAGGCCGAAUGGUCUCAUGAACAUGAGAAGAAUGGGGUUAUGGAGGGGGAAGAGGACUGCCCAACAACGAGAAACAUUUUGACUUCAAGAUGGGCAGACGCUGAUCAGGACGAGGAAGAGGCGACUGUGCCCAAAAAGAAGAGAAGUGUGUCUCCUGGUAACUUGUCUGCGCUGAGAUCUACAAAGAAAGUUACAAGCCCAGAGCUUGGAGAAGCACUGCGGGUUAAAACAAGAGGGAGUUCCUCAUGUUCGUCUAACUCUGUCUGCAGUGAAAACUGGAAUAUUGAGGUUGAUGGGGGUGACUGCAUGGAUGUUGAGGAGGAUGGUAUUGAUGCUUCUGCUGGUUGUUCACUGGAUGUUGAUUCUGGGAGUGAUGCACGCAGGUCUAGAACACCUGAGGCUGUACAGCCGCCACGCAGGUGCUUUAACAUGCUUCAGAGCUGUAGGAGUAUUGAUGAGUUCGAGAGGCUCAACACAAUCAAUGAGGGUACAUAUGGAGUUGUAUUUAGGGUGAGGGACAAGAAAACUGGUGAGAUUGUUGCAUUGAAGAAGGUAAAGAUGGAUAAGGAACGGGAAGGUUUUCCAUUGACUUCUCUUAGGGAAAUAAAUAUCCUUUUAUCUUUUGACCACCCAUCAAUUGUGGAUGUCAAGGAAGUAGUUGUUGGUGGUCAUGAUGAUGAUACUUUCAUGGUGAUGGAGUACAUGGAGCAUGACCUGAAGGGUGUCAUGGAGACGAUGAAGCAACCAUAUACCCAAAGUGAGGUAAAAUGUUUGAUGCUUCAGCUGCUAGAGGGCGUGAAGUAUCUUCAUGACAAUUGGGUACUUCACAGGUAGUGACAAACUACUGAUUCUUUUUCUUCCUCAUCUUGCACAAUUGUGAAUGCCUUUUCAUAUAAUAAUGUCAUGUUGCUUUGUAGGGAUCUCAAGACAUCAAAUAUCCUCUUGAAUAACCGUGGUGAGGUGAAAAUAUGUGAUUUUGGACUCUCCCGUCAAUAUGGCAGCCCGCUAAAGCCUUACACUCAACCAGUUGUAACUUUGUGGUACAGGUAAGUUAUCAGCCAGCAUAAAAUUUCUCUAAGUGUUUUCAUAUCACGAGGAUAAUUUACGUUACCACUAGUCCAAUGUUGUCUCAUUAUUUACUCCUUAUGAUUGCAGGGCUCCAGAACUACUUUUAGGAGCAAAGGAGUAUUCUACUGCUAUUGAUAUGUGGUCAUUGGGUUGCAUAAUGGCAGAACUCUUGUCAAAAGAGCCACUCUUCACUGGGAAAAAUGAGAUAGGUCAACUUGAUAAGGUAUAUCAUUUAUAAAAUAGGUCUACUCUAUUUUGUUUUUAUAGCUGCGUUUGUGAAAUCUAAUGGCAAAUUAACUUAUAUUGUAGAUAUUUAGAAUACUUGGCACACCCAAUGAGGAGCGAUGGCCUGGUUAUUCCAAAUUGCCCGGUGCCAAAGGCAAAUUUGUAAAGCAACCGUAAGUCUCUACCAUUUCUUACUGCUGCUGUUUUUGUGUUCUGAAAUGCACGUUCAUAUCAUGUAAAGUCUUAGUGUCUUACUUUUGAUAUGCCACCUCAGGUACAAUAGAUUGAGGGAGAGGUUUCCACCUGUAUCCUUCACAGGAGGGCUGACAUUGUCAGAAGCUGGAUUUGAACUGCUAACUAGGUUGCUGACAUAUGACCCUGAGAAGGUAAAUAUAUAUCAAUAUAUGUUCUCUAUUGCACUACCUGACUUUUCUAUGCUCAUUUUGCAUGCAGCUUAAUGUACUUGUUUCUUUUAUACAGCGCAUAUCUGCAGACGAUGCCUUGAACCAUGAGUGGUUCCGUGAGGUUCCUCUGCCCAAAACAAAGGAUUUCAUGCCAACAUUUCCUGCUCUGAAUGAACAAGACAGGUACUGAUCUACUUGCUCAUUUGGAUUUCUAAUACUAACCGCAUAAACUGAAUUUUGACUAAUGUGGCUAUGUAUCGCAUACUUGGUGUGCAGGAGGAUCAAGAAAUACAAGAAGAGCCCUGAUCCCCUGGUGGAGCAACAGAUGAAAGAACAAGGGAGCACAGGAGAUCGUGGCCUUUUUGGCUGAUCUGACACCAGAUUUUGGCUUGCUGCAGAAAACCAGUUUUCACUGUGAAUAAUUGUGAGUAAACAUGUUCCAAGGUGAGGUCUCACUGGACAUGAAGUAACCAGUCUACUUGGUGUGUGUGAAAGUUGAUUCUGUUCUAUAGCAGGCACAGUUUCAAGGGGGAAUAAGAUAUUUCCUUAAGUUCCAUGCAGCUAUUGUUCAAAUGGCAGGGUUAGCUCUCUCACAGAAAUCUGGUCACAUUCUAAUCCACCAUCAUUAUAAUUGCCACAGAUCCAGUUCACUUGAGUUUCAGUUUCAUCUAUAGGUCUGGCCUAUUGGGUGCACCAGUUUCACCUUUGAAACUUCUUUGUAAAGUAUUAUCAAUUGUUUCCUUGUAAUCAGUAAUCAAUGAGAUAUUAAUGAGAUCCUAUUUAAUUUUUGCUCUAUUCAAGUAGUUCAAUUUCUUUUGAUCUUUCCAUUUUGUUUGCAAGAGUUGAACGAAGUGAUCGGGAGGGUGCCUUUUGAUUUUGCAAGGAAAUUGGUGCACUCUUAUUGCAACUUGUAAGGUAAAAUGCUAAGGAGCCUAUUUCUCCUACUGACGUGCUAUUGUGUAAUAAAUGCGAUGGAUCUGCCUCUUUCAUUUCCUAUUUUAAUUUUAUUGAAGACUGCUUUGUACUGAAUAGAGUAAUGAUUAAUGACUGCUAUGAUGUCCUCUGGUACUGCUUUUAAGUUGUUAGCUUGGUUCCUGGCGCGCCUGGUCAUGUAACUGUUUACCUUAGAGGGGAAUUUCCUGUUAGGUUCUUCAUUUUCAAGGGUGCAAAUGUUUAGCUUAGAGGGGAAUUUCCUGUUUCACAAAUUAAUAAUGACAUCAGACAGUUUGGAUCACUGUAGAAAGAUUUCUAUGUAUGUAGCAUUGUCUGGGAAUGGCAAUGGAGAACCUUGGUUUUAAAUGUAUGAGUUCCUUCAGCCUUAUGCAGUAGCCUAAAUGGCUUCAGAAUGUGGAAACAUAGAUCUAUAUCUUUUGUUGGUUGCUUUGUUGAACACACAGUGAUGUAACUACGAUGUUUGGAGCUACUGGCUCCUAAAAAAAACAGACAUUCUUUGUUUUAUAUUUUUUGACUUGGAACAUUCUUCUAAAUAUGCCAUAGUUUUCUAAUGUUCAGUUCUAAAAGCUUAUCUACACUAUUACAAUAAAAAAUUGCAGAAUUUUUCUUAGUGAUGGUCCAUGCUGUGAUUUUCAGCUAUGCAUUUGGUGUUAGAUAAGCCUUCUCAGUUUCUUAGGUGCUGGAUAAUUGAAGACGCUGAGUUCUUCUUAACAUUGUAUCUUGGCCUGAUAAUCCUUGCACAUGUGCUAAUAUAUUCGUUUCAGCGAGUUUAUCUAUUGUAACCUAUUAUUGCUUCAGCUUAAGCCAUCUCUUGUGAGACACUACUGCAUAUGUGGUUGGCAUCUUUGCUUGAAUUUGUCAAACUAGAUCUAGCCAUUGUUUGGGAAUAGGAUAUUUGUUCUGUUAGACCUGAUCCUGAAGAUUUUCUGUUUCCAAGGUAGAGAGUUUACUUAACUCACUUUAAACAUUAUGUGACACGUCUGCAGCUUAAAGCUGUGGCUGUAUCAAGACAGGAAGCUCUCGUUGAUGUCAGACUGGUAUACCUAAACUGACUUAUCUUUGUGUCUGGGCCUUCAAAGGUCUCAUCUGUCUUUGUGAAUCUGUGGGGUCAGUCUACUAUCCUAUCUUAUAUGUACAUUCGUGCUUUAUAUGCUAAAUUAUUUGUUAAUCUUCUCCUGUUCUUUGCUUGGCAGAGUUCAGGUCAGCUAUUUUGACUACUUUGGUAACCCGUGAUCUCUGCAUCCUUCCACUCCAGUUUUGUUUUGUGCUCAUCAUCACCCUUCUAUUAUUCUGUGAUUUGUGGCAUGAUGAAUGUUAUUGGUUUGGUACUUUUAUUCACAAGGAGCCAAGGACAUACUCUGCAUUAAGACUAUGCUCACCAUCUCAACACUUUGCACUUGUCCACGGUUUUCAGUCAUGCUUCUAUUCUUAUUAUUGCUUGGAAUAGUUAUGGAGGUAGUUCAAAAAAAAGGAGAAAUAUGUUUUUGCCUUACAUUUUGAUCAUAAAUAACUUUUCCAGUUGUAGGGUAAUGUUUUAUUUUCCUAGGUUGAUUCUGUAGUGGAAUGUUGAUUGCUUAAGAUUUUCUCUUGCAAGGUUGUUUGACCUUCCUAAUGUGGGUUUACUGUUGUAUAGGUAUAUUUGCUACUAAUGCAUGAUCACUGUCUUGUUUUUUUGGCUAGUGCUUUGUUAAUGUUUCUCAGUUGAGUCAAUGCUAUAAUUGAAUAGCCUGUGAAGUACAUGAAUGUUUUUUACUGACCUUAGUGAGCUGCAUGCCAUUGUUGAAAAUGUACAGGUCUUUGUUACUCUUGAUAUACCAUCCUAAUUUUUCUGUUUCUUUAUCGGGGUUUGUUAAAUAAUCUGCUGCCCUUGCGUAAUUGCUUACUGUGGCUGAAUCUUGCGUUGUGAGUUGGUGACAUCUAAAAUUUUGUCCUGGUAGUUCUACUUGUACACAGGAUAAACUAGAUCCAGGACUGAAAAAAAAUUACUUCCCGUAUGCAUGAACAUGACAACCAACUUUGAGUUUCCUCUACCGGCAACAAUAAUGACAGUAAAAAAACAACAAAGCUUAUUAGUCUCAAGCAGGUUGGAGUAAAGUGGAGAUAAAAUUCAAUAAGCACCAACAAAGAUGAUACUCCUAUAUAAUUGUGGUAAUGAUUAUAACAAGUUACCAAUCUCUGUUACUAGCUUUUGUGAUGUUCUGUGAGAUCAUGUUUGCCUGAAACCCAACUUCUUGGUUGCCUGAAAACUUAGGACUCUGUGAUACUACCAUUUUUCUAUCGUUAAUAGUUCAGUGCAUUGCAGUUGCAAUUAUUAUUAAGUGCAUUGUAGUUGUCGGGAAUUAUAAUGUAAUUAGCAAGAUCUAAUGUCUGAACCGCAGAAUGUUUAAGAAGCUUUAUUUGUGGCAGUCCAUUGUGUCCAUCAAGCUUGUUUAAAACUUCAAAUAAAUGGUAUAGAUCUCCAAUGUUCCAUGGUGGCCAAUUGCCAUCUCCAUUUCCUUACCACACAUGGUGAAGGCACAUUCAGGUCAGAUCAAGGACUGGCAGAGAGGGCUAAUAAUAGAUAGCUACGUUGAUUACUAAUCACUAUUUCAAUUUAGAAUCUUAUAUUUGAUUUAUUGAAAAGAUACUUACCAUGAGAUGUAAGCUGUUCAUUAAAUUGUUAAAGGCCACUCCUAUAUCAUGGUGGCAUAUCAUCAUCGGGUAAUUCAACCUAGUCCUCAUGUUGUCCUUAAGUUCGUCCCCUUGUAUGUCCUUUAAGUAUACUUUCAACUGUAUUAUGAUUUGUGCUUAAGUCUUAAAAAUUUUCCUAACAGAAGACGUGAUUUCUAAAGGUUUUGUUGUAUCUCUUUGAAUACUACUCCUGUGGGAGCUUAAUAAAUUCUGUCUUAAGCGAAUUGUUCUCGUUUUGGUAUUAUUUGUGGCUCAUGAACUUGUUUUAACCCUUGUAUGUUGCUCAUUUGUUUUGUGGGAGUGCAAAUGCUUAAAAGCCAACGAUCAGAGUCUGGAGAGGCAAGUCCUUUGUGCGCUGACCCAGGAACCUCAUGAUACAUCCAUCCGACGGGUCGAGCUUGGUUUAACAGAUGCUGGAGUUUAUUAGCCUCUCUUGGAUUUGUCUAGGAAUAAACCUUGGCGGAGAGAUCUCUGUAGAUAUUUCUGGUCGAGCUAAUUAUUAUGAUUAAUGCUGUGUAAAGAUUUUCAAACCACGAUGGUUGUAAGGUGUUUUUUUGUCUCUAGAUGCAUCUAAAUAUAAUUUAUGUUCUAGAAAAGCAACGACCUACAAUUUGAAAAGCAACGACCUACAAUUUGAAACGGAUGUGGAUUUGAAAAGGAGGUAGAAUAUUUCUCUUUUAUGCGAGUUGACACUACGAUUUUGCCCGGAGAACCUCCUGCAGUGGACGUGCUGGGCAUUGAAUAUAGCUGAGUUUUGAAACCAUACGUUGAAGCAUGCAUGGAGAAUUUCCGCAGUUUGUAAACAGCGUAUGAUUCUUUAAAUAUUGCCGACGUUAUGCGGUAUAGUGCUGUAAUUCAACAUAUCCGCUUUACGGCGAGAAACGGACGUGUUAAGACUUCUCAGAGUCCACGAUAUGAUAUGUGUAUACGAUUGAUUAAUUGUUGCCUAGGGUUUCUUUGGAUAUUCGAAAUGCAAACCUCCCAGUCAGCAGUGCCAGAACCAGAAAGCGUGAUCUCCAAUAUUCCAUGGCCUCCUGAUCUUCUCUCUUGUAUGCAUUGGUCUCGCAGACAACGGACCCAUGUGGGCCCAGCACCGGCGCAUGAUUUGACCGGGCCCACUUCCCGGGUACAGCGCUUUCCAGAAACAGCCCCGGCCACCGUCUCGCCUACACCCACCGGUAUUGCCUGGUGCUCGGCGAUUCCGCCCAUUCCUCCACUAGCGCGGGCUGGCAAGGUACUCUUCCACCUCCUCCCGACCUUCCCACUCUUUCCCCUCACGGGGUGUCCUCCCAAUCGGGGCGCGCGCAUAGGCGGAUCGAUCCCUCUUGCGGUCGUCGUCCUCCGCCGGACGAAUUUAGGGGGCGUUGCGUGGCGGGGUUGAUGCUCUUCUCCUUGGAAUUCGGUGCUGCCAUGCGUUUCAUCCUUAUUGUCCAUCCUAGCUAGGUCACCCGUCACGCGGCGGGCGGCGUGUCUCACGGUGCGUCUCCGCGGCUUUGAUCCUCAUUCGCGUUUCAGUGGGGUUUGGUCCGAUUUGAGUAGCUAUUUCUGCAAGCGGGGCAGAUGGGGUGCGAUCCCCUUUGUCCGUGGUGUAUUGGGGAUAUUCUUCCUUCCUGCUGUUGCCUUUUUUGUUACUUUUGUUUGCAUCAAUUAUACCCUAAAGCGUGCUUAAUUGCUGCAUAAUAUUUAACAGUAUAAAAAAAAUCGGUGCCUAAUUGUUGUGUUCAUGUUUUAUCGAUGGCAGUAUUUAGUAUGGAAAUCAGAUGUGCCCUUGACCGAACACUGUUUGGUAUGGUUGAUGUCUUAUGCCGAUUUAACUGUGACUCCUUCAGUUAGGAGUUCACAGUUCGACCCCAUCCUAUAUUAUAAUUUUCUAUUUUAUGAUUUAUCUUUUGGUUGAUGUGGAGUUACGUAGCUUUUGGCAAAUAGUGAUGUUCAGGAUGAUGUUUCAUGGGGAACCUUGACCAUCCCAUGAUACCGAGGAUAUUAGAUUGACUUCUCUUUGUGGAUGCUUACCUGGUGACCUAUUGCAAAUUCUCAGGCUGUUUUCUUGAGUUGACUUGCAGUUUGUUGGCACGCAAUGAAAGCUAAAGAACCCAAGAAGGCAGGGUUAGUGCCAUCUCGAUUUCUGUUCAAUGUAAAUAUUUGCCCAGCAAAGUGCCAUAAUCGUUCUGUUUCAGGGGUCGUGUCAAAUGGGAUGAAGAGAACUUGAAUGACAUCGAGUCAAACAAACCAGAAAGAGAGAAGAUCACCGAGCCCAAGACACCUUACCACCCUAUGAUUGAUGAGGAUGAAGGUAUGUAAUCUGGUCAUCUUGGCCUUGCACAGUGCACACCGAAUCCAGAUUCCUGCUUUUCUGUAAAUACAGCCACCAACGAUUCUCAGAUAACAUGAAUUUGAUUAUCCACUCUGAUGGGCAGGGCCUGUGUCACCAUUACAACUAAGUGAAGAGCCAGUGGAUAAAUCUGCUCAUGCUGAUGCCAUCAAGACUGCUCUAGCUGAAGCUGUUUCCAGUGGAAAGAUUUUCGACAGAAAUAGUUGGGAAUCAUGUGACAAUGAAGAAGCCAUAAAACAAAGCACAGGUUGUUAAUCUGACAUCUCUCUUUGACGAAAUUCUGUUAUCCACUCUAAUGCAAAAAUGGACAACUAAUUGCUCAUGGAUAAUUAAUUGCUCUUCUUACUAUCAUCCACUGCUUGUGCUAACUCCUUAUGGUUCCAUUGGCAUGAUACAGUUUAUCUUCUAACCUCCCUUUUAUUUUGCCAUAAAUCCAACAAAGUGACACACUAAAGGAGAUAACAUAGGUUCUUAAAUCUCCUGUGACGAUUUUUUAUCUGUGAAUCAGUUUUACCUACCUGUAGGCUGUAGUGCAGUUCUUCGACUUAUUUACAUUUGGAUUCAGAAGGUAUUAGUACAUAGAAACAUCACCUAUCAUGAUCUACUUGCUGUGUAUGGUAUAUCAAAUUCUUUUCAGCAUGCUCGGUUUUCUCUUCACUUCAGUCAUGACUUCUUCUAAACCACUGAUUUUCAACAAUUAACUGCAUGGUGAGAAGAUGUGAAGCCAGUUUGGUUUAACAUGACAAAUUAGCGCUUUUUGUGGGUAACUAACAAUGGUUCGGCUAACUUUGAUUAUCACAAAUGGAGAAAUUUGUCCCAUAUAUUUUUCCUUUUGACUAUUUUGUGUUCGGAGCAAGGUAGAACUAACAACUCAUGUCCCUUUGUAGCUUUUGAGGAGCACCGGAAGGUUCACUACGAUGAAUACCAUAAGAUGAAGGAGCUGCUUCAGAAGGGAACCAUGACUGAUGAUGCAGAUGAAGAUGAAAGUGAACCAGACAACAGGAAGGAGUGACAGUUCUGUCCCGGUCCGAACGCGGAACUGUGAUUAGAAGAUCUUCAGCAUCAUGAGACAGUUGGAAGCUUGGAAAAGUUUGAGGUUUCGAGUACUUCAGGACUACUAGAUGUAUUAACCAUGCACAACUGUUUUCACCGUUUCCUGCACAGAGCUAUACUGUUCUCUUCCUUGGCACUAGUUCGGAAGUGUAAGCCAUGACUCAAUCUUUGCAGCUAAGACUUUGAGAGUAUUUCUGUAGUCGGUCUUACGGACCGCAAGCUGGAACGUGGUAAGCUGCAUGCGAAUUUUUGUGACGAAUGACCGGUCAGAUGUAGGCGGUCAUUGUUUUAGCUUGCAAAAAUUCAGAGUUGCAGCUGGUAGAUUGUUAGAUUGUAAUAAUUCGAACUAUGGAUUGUUGUUACAAUCUGAUUACAAUUUGGGACUUGUUUGUUUCACCUUGCAGAUCUACAAUCUGCAUGCUGAACACAAACGGGCCGUAGACGAGCAUCAAGCAAGUCCGUUUGUUGAGCCGUGGCCUGUCGUCUCUUGGCGUGUCAACUUGAGCAGAUUCUGGUUGCUGGGAGCGAAACAAUUCACUCACCCGCAAUGACAAAAUUCUAGACACACUUGGGACGGCGGAAAUUCUAACGAUUCUGUACCGAUUCACGUGGAAUUCAUCUUUCCUUAUAAGAUUCUAAUCUAAGAAUAUAAAGCAUCUUUCGGAACCAUCAUCGAUCAUCGUAGCGUCUAGAAGGGGGCAAGUGUUAAAUUGGUGGCAGUUGAGGGGUCUAUCUGGGAAACAACAGGAUAGAACGGGGCGGAAAGCAACGUCACCCUCAUCCAACCUCUGCUUCACUCCCGCGGCUGCGGUGCUUCGUCGUCCCAGUCCGGGCGAUGGCCUGCUUGGAGGCGCCCCCUCCCCUCGAUCUCCGCCCGGCCACGGGCCUCCGCGGCCGGAAGCUUCAGCCAUGGCGGCUCAGCCUGCUGAGCUCCUCCUCAUGCAAGUAGGCUCCUCUACCGUUUUCAACUUCGUCCUCCGUACCCCGUAGAGUGUACUAGGCUGCUAGUGUAGGGGCUGAGCAUCUACACCUUUGGCAUGUGCCAUUUCGCCGAUUUUUCCCCAGCAUUUCGAUGUUCCAAGAAUUUCGCAGGCUUAUAGUUAUGGGAUCCCUAUAGUUAUAGCUCAUACGAAGUUGAAUUAGUAUAGUCAUCAUCUAAAAGUACGGCAACAGAAAUUAACCCCUAAUUCCAAACCUGACUGCAACUUACGAGUUAUGCAAAGCUUAAUAUUCACUCCGUAUCUCCUGAACUCCUAUCCUAGCUACGCCAUGGUCUGCUACUCUGUGUUCUAUUUUGGAGAAUGGAUAGUUGCAGCUGAAUUUCCGCUCCCCCCCCCCCCCCCCCCCCCCCCCCCCCCCCCCCCGUUUUUUUUGCCUCCUGAAACCAAACAGGUUUAGAGUCAAAUUUCUAGUGGCCAUUCCAAAAGCACUCAUCUUAGGAUACACCAUGAAUUUUCUGAAACCCAUGAGAUAUGGUCACAUCGACGCUGUGGUAAUUCUCUGGGGGAUCAAAAUUGGUUGUGAUAAAUCACCUGGCAUUGUUUGCUUCUGAAUGUACUGCUUGGUGUCUGGCCUAUGGGGCAAAGUAGUACCGCCCCAGGGUGGUUGGUGGUUCACAGGCAACACCAUGAUGAAAAAUUUUACCAGGAAUUUUCAGUUUUCCACCAUAUAAAAUUUUACCUGUAUUCUAUGUCUAUAUAAAUCGUGUGCACCACCAUGGUUUCAGCCCUAGCUCCGCCCCUAAAUAUAAGCAAGGCCUUUGGAAGAGAACAGCAUUGUUUUAUUUUCCUCAAUAAUCUUCCUACACUCUAUCAUGUGCUCCACUAAUUGUUGGCUCAAUUGUACUGAUUUCUGCGUUCUGUUCAUUCAGGGCUUGGACUCUAGUGUGUCGACAGCUUCCAAUUUGCAAUGCACAGUCAUGUGAGAUUUCCUCUUCACCCUUUAAUGAUUCUUCUACAUAUAAGUAUGCGGUACACACAAUUUAACUUUGUAGCAUACACAAUUACUCUGCGAUGCAGAUACUGAUGAACUAUGGGUAGCUGCUCCUCAAAGCCCUGCAUCGGUUCGGUCAAGGUUGCUUGCUGCAGAAAGAGAGGAGGCAAAAGCUGUUCUGUCAUUGUUCUUGAGACAGAAGGGUUUGAGAAGUACGUUAGCUGCACGGAUCGUCAACAAGUCAGAUGGUUUCAUUGAGCACCUGGUGUCAAAGCUCCAGAUUGCUUACAGAUCUCGAUAUGCUGAAGGUUGCAACUUUUUGUUACACUUUUCUGUAUACAUAUGUCUUCUUAUUGGUUCUGAACUUUUGACAGCAUAUUUAUUUUUCAGGAAGAGAGCUGAGCACACCUGAGAUCAGAGAUGCCCUCCUUCCAUAUCUAGAAGCUCUUGAUAGAGAACAUGGCGAUAGUUUGGUCGAGGUGGUGGAGAACUUCGCUGAUCCUUUUUCUAUGGAAAGGGAAGCCUUGUCUUCUUCUAUGGUACUUACACCCACGAGCUCAAAUAAACAGAAGGCAGUUGCUAGAAUAAGCACACCAACCUCGGGGGGAGCCCUCCCUGAGCUAGUGCUCUACCUACUAGACCUUGGUAUGGAUCAUGAGGAGAUCAAGAAUAUCGUGCGCAAGUUCCCAGCAUUUGCAUAUUACAAUGUGGAACGCAAGAUAAAACCCCUGGUGGAGCUUUUGCUAGACCUUGGUGUGCCAAGGUCUAGCAUACCGGGAAUCAUAAAGAAGAGGCCUCAGCUCUGUGGGAUCAGCAUGUCAGAUAAUCUUAAACCGAUGAUGGUUUAUUUGGAAAACAUUGGUGUCAACAGAGCUCAAUGGAGCAAGGUUAUUACCCGGUUCCCUGCUGUUCUCACGUAUAGCAGGAACAAGGUGGAGACAACUGUGAGCUUCCUUACUGAGCUAGGAGUUUCCAAGAAAAACAUUGGCAAGAUCCUGACACGAUGCCCUCAUAUCAUGAGCUACAGUGUCGAUGACAAUCUCAGGCCUACUGCUGAGUAUUUCCGGUCGAUUGGUGCAGAUGCUGCAUCUCUUAUUCAGAAGAGCCCACAGGCUUUUGGUCUGAAUGUCGAGGCAAAGCUGAAGCCAAUCACGGAAUUCUUCCUUGAGAGGGAGUUCAGCAUAGAGGAAAUUGGCAUUAUGGCGAACAGAUUUGGAAUUAUUCACACAUUAAGCUUGGAGCAAAACUUACUCCCAAAAUAUGAGUUCUUCCUAACGAUGGAGUACCCGAGGAGUGAGCUCGUGAAAUUUCCACAAUACUUUGGAUACAGCUUGGAGCAACGGAUAAAGCCACGAUAUGCUCAGAUGACUGGUUCUGGGGUGAGGUUGAUCUUGAACCAGAUGCUGUCAGUCUCAGACACCAGGUUUGAGGAAAUUCUAGAAAAGAAGAAGACUAGAGUUUGAAAAGCCGAUAAUUUCAUAUGAGCACAAUUUUAGAUCUCAUUCGAUAACUAUCGCCACUGCAGCAUGUUUUAUUGGAUGAGCGUGGCAUUAGUUUUUCAGGGAAGUAGCUUCUUUGUGUGGUCUUGAUGGAUGCUCAAAAUUUGAAAUUGAAAUUUUUUAUGUAUGACUGUAGUCUGUAGGGUGAUUUAGGAUCCUAGUUUGCAAGGGGGUGAACUAAGAAAUGCCAGUUGCGGUCGUUAUGAUUCAAUUCAAUCAGACUAAUUGAUGCUCAGUUAUGUAAUUAAUAGCGCUCGUCGUGGCAUUGUAGCUUGUUUUACAUGUUGUUCCUGAAUUUGCCCGUUAGCAUUCAACCGUACCAGCGUACCUCCCAAAGGCCAAAACACAGUUGCACGAGCACUUGAGCAGUACUGCCACACAAUGGGCUAUGUAUUAAUGCCGGAGCUGAUUAGCCUGAUACACGAGAUGAGACUGAAAUAAUAUGAUAACAUCAGAUUCCCUUGUUUCACUGAAUUUUUCUAUGAUGCUUCCAGAGAGUGCAUCUGCAUACGAUGUGCACAACCGGGCGAAAACAGUUACUGUAGAUGAUAGCAUCCGAUUCGCUUGUACACGGAAAUUCUAAAGAUCAAUCAGCGCAGCCACUGGUUUAAGUACAUGAUAAUAACAGUUACACCGCACUGUGCUCACAGCCUCACAUCAACGGCGCUCCUACCACCGGUGUUUAGCCUUCAUCAACUUGCCACCAGGCACCAGUCGUCACCCAGGCUGAUUAAACAGACCGAUGCAAAUUCAAGCAAACCUCUUUCCUUUUACACCAGAUAUCUUCCAGGUUAGCAUCGAUGCCAAGCCACUGAAACGUUGUUCCUUAGUGCACUUCAGUGCUCAGCUUCAAACCAUGAAGAAUCCACCAAUGAGGCAAUGGGCCAACCUGGUUAAAAGGAACCGGGUUUGAGGCUGUGAGGCAGUGACUCUUUAUACUAAAUACACAAAUAUAAAAGGCAGUAAAGAUCAAACAGUUUCACUGAUGCAUCAUAAAGAAACUAGAAAAGGAGCUAACUAGAGAAGCAGACAUGCAAGCAAGAUCGCACUCCAUAACACACCAUGGAAAGGUGUUUCAGUUUCAUAGUAGAAACAAAUCAGAACAGUAUCUCAUAUUCCCUCUGAUUUUAAAUAUACACUGUUUAGGAGCUAAUUAGUUCACACGACUGCAGAUGAUACAAUUAAUCAGGACAGAUACGCAGAUCUCACAGAAAAUUGUUCAGAUUGCUUUAAAUGCGGUCUUACACCAUUUCACAAAUCUCACUUGCUUGAGCAAACACAAUCUAUUCAAUGAACCAGAGCACAAGGCAGAUACACUGAUUUAUCAGGAAAGAAAAAUACUUGCAGGGCCGCUCACCCAGCCAGCCAUGUUUAAUUUCUGAUUGAAUGGUGUUUUAUUAUUUCAAGAGUCAGCACAAAACAUACAUGGAAUUAACCAUUUUUUGCAUGAAGGGCAAGUGCUUCGCAAUGCUUACAGAACUAAUCAAAAUACAAAAGAACAUUAGGUACAGUAACAUGAAAAACAUAACUUCUUAAUUGCUAAUUUGGUCAAAGGUAUAUGAUUUAGAGUUUUAGAUGCUGUUGCUACCCCACAAGCACACAAAAAAAAA
rnacentral:lncRNA from 1 species